AAUUGGGCAUGAUGAUGAUGAUGGGAUUUCCAGUUGCACCAAAAUGAGCAGCACAUGACACUCGACGGCGAUCUGGACGAGAUCCGCCGGAGAUCAACUUGACUGGGCGACGUGGGAACUUCUCUCACCCUCCCUUUUGUUAUACCCGGUAGUAAGAUAACGGAAGAGCAUGAUUGGUCACUGGCAAAUGAAAAUGUUUCUAGAGUGUAAGUAACAUAUCAGACUAUUUCUUUUAAAGGUUUGGCUGGAAAAUAUCUAAUAAACCGAAUCCAAAAUGAUCCUUAACCAAAAAUCGAAUUGCAAAUCACAAGCACAGCUGCAUAUUUUGUUGACCGGGUAUUUUCGAGUCGAGCGAACGCAAUUGACGCUUUCUAAGAUCGCUCAGUUUCUAAUUGCACAUUUAAUUAGAAGCUGCUGGUAAUGCAAAUCUUUCAAAUACAAUGCGAACCGAUCAAAAAUUUGAUUGACUGACUGGGACAGGGACAGUUUGAUAGUUGUUAUAAGUAGUUCAACUAUUAUUAAAACAAUACUUACUCAUCUUAAGUGAAUACUACCGCACUCGCAAAUACCCUGUACAUUCUUUAAAAAAAAACCUAAAAGAGGUUGUUAAUGAAGUAAUUCAAAAGAGCUGCAAAUGAAACGUUGCAUAAUUUUGGGCUGCAACUUUAAAUCUCUUCUGCACACCCUGUUGUCAUCUACUUUGUAACGAUCACCCUGUUCCAUAACGGUCAAUGUCACUGUGUGUACGCGUGUGUGUGUGUGUAUUGCACUGCAAAACAGCUUUACGAAUUUUUCCGGUCGCAGUUUGGCAGCACGCUACAGAUUAUCAGCUUGAAAAGGCGAAGUUCAAGCAAUUAAAUACAAAUUAAGCUGAGCUUCAAAACAUUCGCAAGCAAUUAUACGAUUUCAUAUUGACGUGCGUUUUAAUUGUAUAUUUUAAUGCCUAUACAUAGUAUAAACAUAUAUGUACAUACAUACAUAUAUGUAUGUAUAGAAACUCGUUCAAAGGAGGCAGCGCUAAUCAUACACGUGUAUACAAAAUGACGUCCUUGCUGCUUACCGAAUUGUUGCUGCUCGCUUUGCAAGGCAAAGUUCAACCAAUUAAUUGCAAAUAAAGCAGCACUUGAAAUGAUUAUUUCGUAUUUAUGUGACUCGUAAAGCGAUAAUGAUUAAUUAUACAUUUAUGUGUGCAUAUAAAAUGUUUGUUCAAGCAGCGUGCGAUCAAGCUUCGAAAUUCACUAAGGUAUGGAAACACUUGCAGACAAAAUGGCUGCUUGCAGCUUAUCGAAUUUUUUAUGUCUAAUGUCUGAAUUGUUCACAGCAAUUAAAAGAUGUUGAUGUGAGUAUUUUUUUAGACGUAAAUUAAUUCUGUUUAUUUAAUUAAAUUAUAUUUUAUCUAAUUAUAUUUAUUUAUAUAUGUAUAACGUAUAUGAUAUCGACGUUAUCGAUGAUCAAUUAUCGAACUUUGCAAAAGUUUGGCAACACUUGCAACCAAAAAGCGGCGCGCGAGUGUCUUGUGAUAAAAUUUGUUCAAAGCUAUUAAUAAAUAUUAAAUACGUGAGUAGCGAGACAAGUAACUUGUGAAUUUAACCAUCCAAAGGCGUUUUCAACGCCACCGGAGGCGCAGCUUGCUUGUCGUCUUCAUUAAUUCGCGGCUCAAUUGUUGGUGCAUCUGCUUUUGGUGGAGACGCCUUCGGUCUGCCGCUGGGCAGCAAAAGUGUUUGAAUGCCACCCGUGGGAGCCUCAACCAGAAUGUACAUCAAAUACGACAACAAUACGGUGAAGCCAAAGUCUGGCCAGAAGCGCAGCAUCUAAAUCGUAAUUUCCAUGUAAGUGAAUGCAAAUAAAAUGAUGAAGCUCUGAUCACUUACCACUUGAUAGUCACUGAAGUAGGUGCUUGUGUGUGUGCUAAAGCCAUUGAGUUCCUCGAUAAAAAAGUGCCAAAUGUAGGCGCAAUACGAGAGCUUUGACAGCGGUUGCCACAGCGGCGAGGAGAGGAAACUGUUGGCCAAUCCACCGUAGCCAUAUUUGCAGGCAAACACAACCCAGACCAAAGCGAGUGGCCACGCGAUGCGAGUCAGCGUCACGUAGAAGGCUUCGUUGAGCGUGGGCAACUCAUAACCAUUGGCUGCAUAUGGAUAAAUGCCAAAGAGGCAGGCAAAGAUCAAUGCCAAGCUAAAGAUCCAACCAGCCCAGACUGCCAAAGGUUUCAGCUUGAAGGAUUUUCCGCGA